rnacentral:lncRNA from 1 species
CCACACUCAAAAGAGUCCUCUUUACAUUUAUUUUCACACUAUUUAACAGAAUAGUGAAGACUACUAAUACUAUCAUCUGGACCGUCACUCCGUUCACCGACUAGUCCCGGUUACGUUCUCAUUUCCUGAAAAGAACAGUGAAAGAAAGAGUGAGCUCAACUAGCCCAGUAAGAAAUAUUAUGACUAAGAUAAUACAUAAUAAAUUAUCA